ACCUAGCGGAUUAUACAGGGAAAGCUACCGAGGUUCCAGGAGGAAGUUAGAGUCUUCUUCGGCGAAGAGUAGGGUGACGGGAGAGUGGUGUGCUUAUCACCAAGUUUCUGGUCAUGAUACUGGGAAGUGCAGAGCUUUACAGCACGCAGUUGAGAAAUUGAUCACAACAGGAAAGACUGUUAAGGCGCAGCGUAAUAAACCUCCUAGGAUCGGAGAAAUAGGCACAAUCGCUGGAGGCUUUAGCGGAGGAGGAAUCACUAGUGCAGCGCACAAACGAUAUCUCAGAACGGUGAAUGCGGUUGCGGAAGCACCUUUCGGUUUUCAGCAUCCGGACAUCACAUUUUCACCCGCUGAUUUUUUUCAGGUUAAAACCACACUUAGACGACCCGAUCGUGAUCUCCCUUCGGGUUAACCACUUCGACGUACAACGAACGCUCUUGGACCAGGGGAGUUCAGCAGAUAUCAUCUACGGCGAGGCGUUUGCGCAGUUUGGAAUAAGGGAAGGUGACCUUACCCCGUAUGAUGGGACCUUGGUAGGAUUCGCGGGCGAACGAGUGUGGGUGAAAGGAGUCAUAGAUCUUGAUACCAUAUUCGGCGAAGGUGAGAAUGCCAAAAAACUAACAGUAAAAUACUUGGUUUUAGAGGCGGAAGGGUCAUACAGCGCGAUCAUUGGAAGGAACACUUUAAACCGUCUGUGCGCAAUAAUCUCGACAACUCAUCUAACAAUAAAAUACCCUCUGGCGAGCAGGCGAAUAGGACAGGUUGUAGUGGACCAAAGGGUUGCAAGGGAGUGUUACUGCAACGCUGUGGAUCGAUAUGGAAAGAAGAAUGCCUCAACAGGACAUCGUUGUAAUGAAGUCGAGGCUCCGGACAAAAGUUUGGAUCCGAGGGGCGAGGGGCGAGUCAACAGAUCCACUCCGAUAGAGGAAACCAAAGAGUUGAAGUUUGGCGAGAAGAUACUCAAAAUAUGGACCAGGUUAAGUGAGGACCAAGAGCAGCGGCUGUCGAAGUUACUGGGAGAGAACCUAGACCUUUUUACUUGGAGUCACAGAGAUAUGCCCGGCAUAGAUCCAAAUUUUAUUUGUCAUAAAUUAGCAUUAAACCCAGGGGCGAAGCCGGUGACCCAUACUCGACGAAGAAUGGGCGGUGAGAAAGAAAAGGUGGCGCAGCAAGAGGUGAACAAGUUGCUUGCAGCGGACUUCAUCCGCGAAAUCAAGUACCCUACCUGGCUGGCAAACGUGGUGAUGGUCAAAAAAGCGAACGGAAAAUGGCGAAUGUGUGUGGAUUACACAGACUUAAAUAAGGCAUGACCGAAAGAUUCCCACCCUCUACCGAGCAUAGAUAAACUGGUGGACGGAGCCUCGGGAAAUGAACUCCUAAGUUUAAUGGAUGCAUACUCGGGGUACCAUCAAAUUAAAAUGCAUCCGUCGGACGAGGAUAAAACGACUUUCAUGACUUCAAGGGUGAAUUACUGUUACCAAACCAUGCCUUUUGGUUUGAAGAACGCGAGGGCGACGUAUCAGCGACUGAUGGACAGGGUGUUCGAAGGGCAAGUGUGAAGGAAUAUGGAAGUAUAUGUUGAUGACAUGAUCGUAAAGUCAGUUUUGGGGUCAACUCAUCAUGACGACCUUUUGGAGGGCCUUUGACGAAAUCCGGAAGCACAACAAUGCGGCUUAAUACCGGAAAAAAUGGUCCUUUCGGAAUACAAGGGGGCAAGNNNNNNNNNNNNNNNNNNNNNNNNNNNNNNNNNNNNNNNNNNNNNNNNNNNNNNNNNNNNNNNNNNNNNNNNNNNNNNNNNNNNNNNNNNNNNNNNNNNNUUACGAUCCGAAAGCCACAUGCGCCCUCAUCCGAAAAUGUCUUUCGGAAUCAGGGGGCAAGUUCUGGGUUCAUGAUCACGCAGAGGGAAUUGAGUAUAUCCGAUUAGUGCAGGCGAUAAGGAAAUGAGAGCCAAGCACGCAAAGAGGUGCAACGCUGACCGGGCGAAUCGUAGCUUUGUCUCGUUUUCUCCCUCAUUCGGGUAACAAAUCUGCUCCGUUCUUCAAAUGCCUUAAGAAGAACGCGACAUUCGAAUGGAGUUUAGAAUGUGAAGAAGAUUUUACUCGCCUCAAGGAAAUGUUGUCAGCACCACCUGUCCUCUCAAAGCCCACCCAAGGUCUUCCCCUACACCUGUACUUUUAUGUGGGCGACCACGAGAUUAGCUCGGUAAUCCUCCAGGAGGUGGACGGGGAACAAAAGAUAGUCUACUUUGUAAGCCACACGUUUCAAGGAGCAGAAGUGAGGCAUCAGAAGAUAGAAAAGGCGGCGCUCGCCGUCCUCAUCACCGCCAGACGCUUGCGACCUUAUCUUCAAAGCUUUCAGGUAAAGGUGAGAACUGAUCUUCCUUUAAGGCAGGUGUUACAGAAACCAGAUUUGUCAGGAAGGCUCGUCGCAUGGUCGGUGGAGCUGUCGGAAUAUGGAUUGCAAUAUGAUAAACGGGGGAGAGUCGGGGCACAGACCUUGGCAGAUUUCGUGGCGGAAUUAACGCCUGAAGAAGGAGAAAGAAUAAACACACAAUGGACACUGUUCGUGUAUGGUUCGUUGAACGACAACGGAAGUGGAGCCGGGGUCACAUUGCAAGGACCUGGGGAAUUGGUGCUGGAACAAUCUCUCAGGUUCCAGUUCAAGGCCAGUAACAACCAGGCAGAAUACGAAGCUCUGAUCGCGGGAUUGAAGUUGGCAAUCGAGGUACAAAUUGACAAUCUAUUGUUAGGGACAUAUUCACUGUUGGUGGCGAACCAGGUUAAUCGGGAAUUCCAAGUAAAGGGCCAGCUUUGAUAAAAUACCUGGAACGCGUACGAUCGCUUAUGAGUCGGAUAAAGGAAAUUGUAGUUGAGUAUGUGCCUAGAACGCAAAAUCAAAAGGCUGAUGCCCUAGCCAAGUUGGCGAGCACCAGAAAGCCCGGAAAUAACCGAAGUGUGAUUCAGGAGACGCUCACCAACCCCAGCAUAGAAGACGAACUGGUGGCUUCAAUUGAUCGCCAAGAAACUUGGAUGAACCCCAUCAUUGAUAUUUUGGCGGGAGAGCCGGGCGACGUGGUGAAAUACUCGAAGGCACAAAGGAGGGAAGCAGGACAUUACACGUUGCUUGACGGUAUCCUUUUCCGACGAGGAUUCACUUCAUCCCUCUUAAGGUGCCUACCACCGGAAAAGUGCGAAGAUGUUAUGGCAGAGGUUCACGAGGGGGUUUGCGCGAGCCACAUUGGGGGAAGAUCUUUGGCGAGCAAAGUCCUCAGGGCAGGAUUCUAUUGGCCCACGAUAAGGAAAGACUGUGCAGAGUUUGUAAGGAAAUGUGAGAAAUGCCAACGAUUCGCGGACUUGCCCAGAGCCCCACCAGAGCAGUUGGCCACGAUCAGUUUACCAUGGCCUCUCGCCAUGUGGGGAGUAGACAUCGUCGGGCCUUUUCCCACCGCCAGAUCGCAAAUGGGUGGAGGCUGAACCUUUAGCGAGCAUAACAACAGCAAAGAUAAUAAGCUUUUACUGGAAGAGGAUCGUUUGCCGAUUCGGUGUAUCGAGGGCGAUUGUCUCGGACAAUGGGACACAGUUUGCAAGCAACCAAACCAAGGAGUUUUGCGAUGAGAUGGGAGUUCAGAGGAGGUUUUCGUCGGUAGAGCAUCUGCAGACUAACGGGCAGGCGGAGUCGGCAAACAAGGUCAUCCUGCGUGGUUUGAAGCGGAGGCUCUCGGAGGCCAAAGGAGCCUGGCUGGACGAGCUACCGAUCGUAAUCUGGUCAUACAACACGACACAACACUCGACCACGGGAGAAACUCCGUUCAGGAUGACUUAUGGAGCAGACGCUAUGCUCCCCGUGGAGAUAGACAACAGUUCAUGGCGAACAGCGCCGAAAUUCGAAGGCGAGAACGCUGCAAACAUGGCGACGAAAUUAGACCUGCUGUCGGAGACACACAAUGAAGCUCGCCUCAGGGAAGCGGCGAUGAAACAACGGGAAGCAGCUAAGUAUGAUACGAUGGUACGACCAAGAGAGAUGCAGACAUGGGAUUUGGUGCUUAAGAAGCGGACAGGGGACACGGGAAACAAGUUAAGCCCAAUCUGGGAAGGACCCUACAGGAUCUUGAAGGCCUUGGGAAAGGGGGCAUAUCACCUGGAAAGCUUGGAUGGAAAGAGGAUACCAAGAUCGUGGAAUGCUGCCAGUCUGAAGUACUACUACAGUUAGUGAGAUAAACGAACCGAUGGAUCCGACGCAAAGAUCGGCAGCAGACUCCGCGAAAGAAAACACUUUUGUACUAUGUUCAAAGAAAUUAUUGGCCAAAAGUGCCCGAAUGAUAAAAACAAAGACACGUUCUUGUUCUCCAUCUCGGGAGUUUGUUGACUAUCACGUCUGAUUGAAAAUACAAAAAUUGUAUCCAGCAAUUUCAAUCACACUGAAUUGCGGUGAGGGCUCGGUGGGAAAAAUUCCCUGAAGGUGGCAAUCCCAACACGACCUUGAUGUCUGGGGAUUGCUCCGGAAAGGCCGACGCAGCUCGCCGUCACUCAUCGGCGAUGUGUGCGGAUAAGCUUCUUAUCCCUAUAAUCUCCCCGAAAUAUGGGCGAGCAUUGUUCAAACUAGGCUAAAAAAGACUCGGGCAAACCCAUAUGGCCAUUGGGCCCUGAGCAAUUAUAAGCCCUCGCCUAAUAAGGCUGGCGAGGCCACACUUGAUCUUACGGGAAAUAUGCGUGUGAAAGAAAGCCUCAGUUCAAAAACUAAGCCACGAGCCCUAGUUGAACCUAGCACACCAUCAAUGUCGUCAGACGUAAUUCAGAAAUUAGCAAAAGCGGGGGGAAUGAGAGAGUAAAAACUGGAAAAUAUUAAACCACGCGAAAAACUUAAGGAUAACGACAAGUAAAAACGAAAAUAAGUCAACUUAAAGUUAAGAUACAGUAAUCCAAAUAAAGAAAGAGCAUUGUUUCUAUUUAUGUUUUCACUUAUGAUUGAACAACAUCUCCUAGGUCAACAUCAGCAACCCCCGGGGGAUCUUCAGAGCCUUCCAGUCCAGCGGGUGUAACCUUCUUGAAAACUCCCAAGGAAUCAAGGUUGAUGUCAGGAUGAAGGUGCUUGACUUGAGCCUUGGCGAUUAGAAAACCCCGGAUGCGUUCGACAGCUGCUGUCUGGGCAGCAUCUUCCUCCAUUUUCUCCACUAGGGCCUUGGCAAGGGCAUCCUUCUCAGCCAGAAGCUUACCCUGGGACUCUAAAUCCGAGCGAGCAUCAGCAAGGGCUUUGCGCCCAUCCAAUAGAUCCUGGCGCAGUUGAGCAAUUUCUUCAUCCUUGCCGAAGAGGUCUUUCCCCUGAGCAGCAAGAGCGGCGUCCUUGGUAUUGAGGAUCUGGUUGAGCUCGUUAAUCUUGGCUUCAAGGUCCCCUUCUUUUUCUUCUGCUGCAGCCCGCGCCAACUUCGCCUCCGCAAGCUUCUUUUGCAUCUUCGACGUUUUAUCUGCUUUGGAGGCAAGCUGGCGAUUCAGUUUGGAGCAUGUUUCAUUGAGUCGAAGGUUGGCGGUGCGCAGAGUCUCCACUUCCUGGCGAAGCUCAGCAAUACCGGAUAAGGGUCGAGCCUGCCAAGCUACUUGGGCGAACAAGCAGCCUGCGCAGAGAAGGCUGGACACAGCUUCUUGAGCCACAUCUUUCGGAUCCUGGCUGGGAACUUCCCUCAAUUUCUCAAGGUAUGGAUGAGAAAGAAGGAAGGAGAAAGCUUCAGGGGUGGAAUCGUCGGAGGGGCCCUUCGAGCGGUCUGGUGAGGAUUUCUCCCUCUCGUCAACAUUCUUUGGAGAAGGAGGUGUCGGUAAAGCGUUGGUGGAAGAGUUGGGAAGGUCGCCAGGUGGCGGGGUGCCCGCUGUAGCAGGAGCGCUCGCCUCGCCCUGUUGGCCAGCCUCAGAGGACUUUCCUAAACCCGAGGAAGCAAGAGGGGAAGGGACAAUACCCUCUUCGCCAGGAGCAGGGGAGGAGACGGAAGGGGUCGCCUCGCUCGCCUUAUUCUUCUUGAGGGUGCUUUCCUCUGUUGCCGAGUUCUGCCUUUUUUCUCCAGCAUGGGCAGAGGGGGAGGCUUUGGCGCUGCUCAGGACACAGGCGUUCAACAACUCAGCGGUGGAGAACUUCAUCGUUCUACCUGAAAAAGAAAAAGAAAAACGGUUACCAAGAGGAAAAGCAAAAAUGAAAGCAUGCGAUAAGCAGACAGGAGUCAAGACCUAAUCAGGGAAGCAAUUUGGAUCCUGGGUGGACAUUAAGUAGUUCGGUACAAUCCAGGAGCGGAAGUUGAAGAAGGGAGUUUAGGGCGAUGCUAUCCCUGGGGGAAAGAGGCAUGAUAUGGGGGUCAGUUAGAGGUUGGGGGGACAAGGUCCAGUAAAAAGGGAAAAGGGUUUCCCCACUCCUCUCUGUGAACAACGAGGGAUACGCAGGAUGAACAACUAUCCGGAAAUAUCUCCGGGCGAGGUAAGAAUCUGAUCCCACCCCGUAAGGAAUGAAUCGUUCUCGACCAGGCCGAGGGGUCAAGACAACCCAACCUUGAGACUCUUGAAAAUCUACUUCGAAAAAGUAGGAAAAAAGGGCAGAGUAGGCGUCACUUCAGUACUGUGGCAGAGAAUCUCGAAGCAUCGUAGGUAAGCCCAGGAGCAAGGGUGAAGUUGGCAAGGGGAGACAUUAAUACUGCGCAACAUAAGGGUAAGAAAGGGUGAGAACGGAAGUUUCAUGUUCAGAUCAAGGAAAAGGUAUUCAUGAAUGAAGAAGAAGUGUGAGUAUUUGAGGUCGUUAAGUCUCGGUGUUGCCAAGGACGGUCUUGUUCUUGACAACCAGUGGAGCGGAGGAGGUCAUUUAACAAUGAGGAAUAGCAAAACCCACCAACUCGGCGGGCAAGGUCAGAGAUAGAUCCGCUAGUCGAUAAUUCGGAUGGUUGGUCGAGGAUUCCUUGGCUGGGUGCCUCCGUAAUGGAGGGGGGAAGAGUGGCGAAGGUUGCCAAACGAUGAGCCCUGAUUUCCUCCAGAGUAGACAAAGCCCCUGUGGAAAACAUCAAAAUUGACAAGUAGAGGGAAAAGGGAACUAACCGAAGGUAGAGUUGUGGAAGAAGGAGCAGAAGGCAGAGCAAGAAGUUCGCAGGAACAAGUAGAGAAAGCCGGCACGAAAAUCAGGAGCGAGUGAGAAACAGUCGACAGGGAGAGGGAAAGACGUGGGGAAGAGAAUUUAAGGGAUGAGAAAAAAAAAGAGUGGGAGAUCGUGCCCCAUCAUUACGAAAGUGGGGUGGUUAGUAGAAGAAAUGACGUGGACCCCGAGGAGUGGGGUGGUGCGUUGAGUAAAAGAUCACAACCGUGGAUAUCAAGUUGGUUCAGAUUCAAAAUGACAAGUUUUAGAUAUGACGCGAAAGGACCCCCCAAAUGAUGGUUAGGAUUCCGGAAAAACCUGACCACGCAAAAGGUCAUGAUCCAGAUGUGCAUGUGACUGCACCAAGGUGAGCGGGCGACCGCCUUUUUAAAAAUGUACAUGUGGGACUCAAAUCGGUCCGCAGGGAAAUCGAGGCCCAAAGAUGGUAAAAAAUUCUGGCGUUAAAACAGGGCCCUUGUCGGGCCAUAGGGUUUCUUUUCUUUUUUUAAACAUUAAGUUUUUUUGGGGUUUANNNNNNNNNNNNNNNNNNNNNNNNNNNNNNNNNNNNNNNNNNNNNNNNNNNNNNNNNNNNNNNNNNNNNNNNNNNNNNNNNNNNNNNNNNNNNNNNNNNNCCCCCCCCCCCCCAAACCUUACACACUACUUUCAAUCACCACGGCCACCACCGUUAUAAUCACCUCCAUAUUUAAUUUUUAUUAUAUAUCAUUAUUCAAUAAUUCACUAAACAUAAAAUUGUAUUAAUUUAAACGAUAUGGUAAAUUAUACAGAGUAUGACCAAACGCUGGAUAGUAUAAGAAAGUUAUCAGGGCUUAUACUAUCAGGCCUAAUACUAUCAGAUCUUAUACUAUCAGGCCUUAUACUAUACGUCGCACCAAACGGGCCCUUAAGAUUUGCCAUAAUUAUCUAAGAUUUACCUAGAUUACUCCUCACUAAAUAUAUUUCAUCAAUCUUGAUUUAAAUAGGUUAUAAAUAUGUUUAAUUAUUUUAGGGAAUUAAAGCGGUUAUUAUUUGAUAGAUACAGGAAAGAUUAUAAUAUUUGAUUUGAUUGGUUUCCAAAUACUUAAGAAAAUGAAAGAUUUUAAUAAUCAUUUCAGAAAAAAAAUUAUUAUAGAAAAAAAAUGGAAAAAGAAGAAUUUGAAAGAAAGGAUGAGGGGAGAGAGAGCUGAGCAGCGAAUUGGGGGGAGGGGGGAGAGGGAGAAGGACAAUUAAUGGGGAAAGAGAAAAAAGACAUAAGGAAACUGAAAAUUUAAAAUGUUAGUCAUUAGAUGAGAGAAAAUAGAGAGAAACGAAAUUGAGGGAGAAAAAGAGACAAUUAGGAAUUAAUGGGGAAAGAUGAGAGCACAUAUUAAGAACAACUUAUAAAAAAAAUUAAAACAUAGAUAACAUAGAAUUUUAAAAAUAAUAACUUUUUUUAGAUAAGCCUUAAAAAUAAUAACUGAAAACGAACUUGCAUAAUCACGUUCAUGAUUAAUUGAUGUAUCAAAUAAAAUAGACAUAUUCCCCGUUCAAUGUACAAAAAAAAAUUUUGUUUUAUUCAUAUAAAUAAAUAAAUAUAUAUUAAUUAAAAUGAUGUACCAAGAAUACGUGAUUUUUUUUACAUUGGAAAGAUAAAUUGUACUCUAUAGGGAUUGAUUCCUAGAUCUCCCAUACCCAACCAAUGUCCCCUAACUCUUACCACUUUUUUUUGUGUGUUAGACAAGUGUCCUUCUUCGGAUGCAAUCUUAUUCUAGCCGGGAACAUCCACAUCAUGGUGGGGCUAACUCUCCUAGUAGAGUUUUUUUCAUCCACAAGAUUCGAACUCGAUAUUUGCUUAAGGGGAAUCAACCCAAUGUUCCCUAACUCUUACAACUUGAUUUGACACGUAAAUAAUGACAAUAUUAAUUAGUUACUAUUGUAAAAAUUUCCAAUUUCUCCUAUUUAAAAAUAAUAAUAGUUAUUACUAUAUAAAUUGUAAUUAAUAAAGACAACUUGAGAAAAAAAUUAAAAUUUUAAAAAUAAUAAUGAUAAAAACAAGUAAAAUUCAAAUUGACUUUACUUUUUUUAAUUAGUUAUUAAUAAUCUUCUAUAAAAUUCAUUUUCUUAGGUUUGCAUAUUUUGCUAUAUUAAAAAUCCUUGUAAACUACAAGAACAUGCCCGCACAAUGCGCGAGUGCGAGUUUUAGUUCAGUACAUGUAUAAUAUUAACUUAUAAUUUUUUAUGGGACAAUUAAUAUAUAUUAUAUGAUGCACAAGCAAAAGAGCCAGUUGAUGAGGUAAAACAAUAUUAUGAUUGUUGCUAUCUUUCACCGUGUGAGGCAGUUUGGAGAACAUUUGGUUUUACCAUACACAAACGAUGGUCGUCAGUGCAAAAACUAUAUUUUCAUCUCCCAAAUGAAUAUUUAGUAUAUUAUAAUGAUGAUGACGACGUUGGAGAUGUCCUAGAAAAGAGUGGUACAAAAUCCACAAUGUUUAUGGCUUGGUUUGCAGCUAAUGAGAAAUACCCUGAUGGGCGGAAUCUAACAUAUGCUGAAUUUCCCAGCAGAUUUGUUUAUCAUAAAAAAGAUAGAAUCUGGAAACCAAGAAAGAGGGGUUUUAAAAUUGGCAGACUACAAUAUAUCCCUCCAAGCAUCGGAGAGUUUUAUUACAUGAGAAUCCUACUGACUAUGCAAAAGGGUUGUACAUCAUAUAGAAGUAUCAGAACAGUGAAGGGAAUCACAUAUGAUACUUUUAAGGAAGCAUGUGAUCAAUUGGGAUUGCUAACAGAUGACAAAGAAUAUAUUGAUGCAAUUAAAGAAGUCUCUGAUUUAGCUUCCAGAGAACAAAUGAGGAAACUCUUUGUAAGAAUGUUGAUGAUGAAUUCUAUCUCAAAACCUAAUGAUGUUUGGGAAGCAUGCUGGUUACUCUUAUCAGAAGGCAUUCUACACCAUAGACGAAAAGAAUUUCAUAAUCCAGGUAUGACAUUUUUCAAAUUAUAUUAUUAAGAUUUUAAAUGUCUUUAAAAUGAGUUAAUUAAUGCUAGGAUUUAAUUUAAUUAAAAUUCAAAACUUUUAAAACAAAUGUCGUGCAACAUAAUUUUGCAUACUAAGUGAACAACAUUAGUUAUAUUCGAUAUAGCGAUAAAUCAUUGGUUAAUUUUUAUUUUCGACUGCACGACUACGAAUCGCAGAUGCUGAUUUGAAAAAUUUAUGUAUCAUUGAAAUUGAGAAGUUGCUCCAAAGAAAUGGUAGGUCAUUAAGUGAUUUCCCAUCAUUACCAACUCCAGCAUAUGAUGAAGUCCUACAAUUUGACAAUAGAUUUAUUGUCGAUGAACUAAGCUAUGACAAAGAUGCAUUACGGAUACAAUAUGAACAGUUGCUUAGUAUGCUCACACCUGAGCAGAAGUCAGUAUAUGAGAGGGUUGUCACAUCUGUGUUGUCAAACUCAGGAGGAUUCUACUUUUUAUAUGGCUAUGGUGGAACCGGAAAGACUUUUGUCUGGAACACUUUAUCCGCGUCACUUAGAUCCAGAUGACUAAUUGUUCUUAAUGUUGCUUCCAGUGGCAUAGCAUCAUUACUCUUGCCUGGAGGCAGAACAACUCAUUCUAAGUUCUGCAUUCCAUUGGAUGCUACAGAGACCUCGACAUGGAAUAUAAAGCAAGGAAGUCUACGAGCAAAGCUUCUACUUGAAACAAGCCUUAUCAUAUGGGAUGAAGCUCCAAUGUUGAAAAAGUUUUGUUUCGAAGCUCUAGACGUUACACUUCGAGAUUUAAUGAGGUCGAAAAAUGAAGACAACGCUCAUAAGCCUUUUGGAGGAAAAGUAGUAAUACUUGGAGGUGAUUUUAGACAAAUACUACCUGUAAUAGCUAGAGGAAGCAGACAGGAAAUCGUGGAAGCUACUGUAAACUCUUCGUCAUUGUUGAAGCAUUGCAAAGGUAUGAAAUUGUCUAAGAACACGCGGCUAACCGCAGCUGAGACGGCUGAUGAAGCAAANNNNNNNNNNNNNNNNNNNNNNNNNNNNNNNNNNNNNNNNNNNNNNNNNNNNNNNNNNNNNNNNNNNNNNNNNNNNNNNNNNNNNNNNNNNNNNNNNNNNAAAAAGGUGGUGGGUUGUGGUGUUUGGGGGUGGUAAAGGCCCGUUGGUGGGUUAUCCGGGGGGGGGCGGUUGGGGCAAACAAUAAAUGGUUGUGGUGUUGGCGAACAUAAGGGUGGUGGUAAUGCGGUGGCGGUGGGGGCUGCAGUAUGGUGGCGGCGACGGUGGAGGGUGGAGGCAAUGGUGGUGGUGGCGAUAGGGUGGUGGUUGUGGUGUCAGUGGUGGCAGUGGUGGCGGUGGUGGAAAUAGAGUGGUGGCGGCGAUUAUGGUGGCGACGGUGGAGGGUGGAGGCAAUGGUGGUGGUGGUGGUUGUGGUGUUAGUGGUGGCGGUGGUGGCAAUAGAGUGGUGGCGGCGAUUAUGGUGGCGGUGGCGAUAGGAUGGUGGUUGUGGUGGUGGUGGUGGCGGCAACACAGUGGUGGCGACGGCGGUGGUGAUCAGAUGGUGGCGGCAACACCGGUGGCGGUGGUGGUGCCAAUGGUGGUGUAAGUUGGCAGCAAUGGAGGGUGGUGGUGAUGGUGACUUAUACGUCACAACCUUAUCAUGCCUUUCCUUCACUCACAUGAUGGAUUAAAUUAUACGUCAUUUUAACGUAUAAGGAGACUUUGAUGGAUAAGCUUAUACAAUACAAUGUCAUCACCAAACAAUGGAUAAACUCAUAAUGUAUUGUAUAAGUUUAUACUAUCAUGUCUAAUACGGCGUGCCAAACGAGCCCUAAUGGUUUUUAAUAUCAGCACUACAUAUUUUAUUUUUAUAUUGUAGAUCAUGAGAAAAAAUAAAAGGAGAACUAAAGGGAUUCUUGUAAAUAUGCAGUAAAUUAGACAUGAGACUUUUCCUAAUUUAAAGAGAUAAUGAAAACGGUUUCAAAAUUUGUUUUGGAAAUAAAUUUAGUAAGGAGUAAUCUAGGUAAAUCUUAGAUAAUUAGGGCAAAUAUUUUAAAAUUUAUUUUUAUAUUGUAGAUCAUGAGAAAAAAUAAAAGGAGAAAUAAAGGGAUUCUUGUAAAUAUGCAGUAAAUUAGGCAUGAGACUUUUCCUAAUUUAAAGAGAUAAUGAAAACGGUUUCAAAAUUUGUUUUGGAAAUAAAUUUAGUAAGGAGUAAUCUAGGUAAAUCUUAGAUAAUUAGGACAAAUAUUUUAAAAUUCAGUUUUUAGAUAAAAUAACACAGGAAAAGAGAUACUAUCUAAUGAAAUGACACGUUGAAUUUUUUUAUGAGAAUUAACCUGGUGUUGUCACGUCACUAAAUCAGUCUGAUAGAAGUUGUUCUUUUCUAAUAUAUAUUGAUUGAUAUUGAUAUGAACGGUAGAAUACUUGAAGGGAGAAUUUUGCUCGUCAUAUUGAUUUAUUAUUUUUUGAAAAAGCCAAAUGAUUCAUUAAUUAAGAGAUAAAAAUUUGAGAACAAAACUGUUUUUUUUUAUUAAACAGAGCACAACACUCUCAAGUAUGCAGUAAUGAUAAACACCAAAGGUCCAAAGCCAAUGUAAAGCCCAUAACUUCCCAAACACUUAAGAUUUGAGAAUGAAAUUCCCUAAAUGUUAAGACCAUUUAACUAGCAAAAACACAGAGGCAAAGAAAUGUAAUUAUUUUAAAACUUCUUAGUUUCCCUUUUAAGCUCAGACUACUUUAUAAUGAUUUUUUUAGAUAUAAUGAAGAUAUUAUUAUAGGUGUCCACUAGGGUGGACCUUUGUUAUUUUGGUUCACCGGUGCACCAGAUAUAUAUUAGACUUUGCACUAUGCCACUAUGGGUCUUUUAGGAAAUACCCCUACUUCCUGAUCAUUCUCACCUGGAACUACUAUGCCUCUUCUCCUACCUACAUCCCUUCAAACCCACAAUCUUCCACCACUAGCGAGCCCCUGCGCCACCAACCCACCCUCCAACUACAAUCCAUUGCAACUCCACUUAGGUUCCAAAGCUUUUAAUUGAGUUUAACAACUUCACGAGCAAGUUCGAACUCUGAAUAUCCAACCUAGCUACAAAACCCUAAAUGUAAAUUGCACCUCAGCUCGCGCCACCGCGGCCACAACCAUGGCUUCACCUUGUAACUGCACCCCCAACAGAUUAAAUUUCUUUCUAGGUUUCAACUAAAGAAGAUCUAAUAUUUCUUCUCUUUUGUUUCUGUUUCUAGGUUUUUAAGGUGGAGAUCAAGCAACAGAGGACUCGAUGUAGGGCUCGCUUGAUCCACAAUAGAGGACUCGAUCUGGGACUCGCUGGUUGGUUCCAGAGAAAAGAACCCAAUUACCAAAAAUGUGUUCUUUCUCAACAAAAACAAGAAAGAAAGAUUGAAAAGGUAAGAAAUGUAAUGGCAAAUGAUUUUCCCUUUUUUGUGACCGCAUGCCAAUCUGAUUUUAAAUACCCAUUUUAUUUUCCUCCAUCACUAAAUGCUUCCCCUCCGCCUCAGCAACGUUGUUAUGUUCCGCAUUGUUUACCGCACCUGCCCCCUCCUCUGCAUCUGCAUCCGCUACUUUCCGACUGAAAUCAGCAGCAAAGAUGGAGUGGGUUGCCCUAUUUCUAGAAACAAAGACUCGGUAGUCCUAUUUUACAACCCUUCUCUUGUCCACAUCGCCAUUGUUGUUGUGAUUUGAACCAUCGUUGUAGAAUCAACAGUGGCGGCGAGAGAGAUAAGGCUGGGUAGCCACGAACAUCGCCUUCCAGAAACAGGGAGAAGAGGGGGUUGGCUUCGGGGUUGUCAAUUUACACUUUUUCCAUUUUAUCAUUCAUCAAAUCCUAGCCAUUCAAUUAAAGAAUAUUUCAAAAAAAUUAAAUCCGACGGUGGUUAAGCCUGGCGUACCGGUGGACAAAAAAAAGAGGUCUACCCUUAGUAGGCAAAGAGGUCUACCCUUAGUAGGCACCGUUAUUAUACUUGAAAAUUACUCGCUAUGUUCUCGCCGGUUAUUUAGUUUUUAUAGAUUUUUGGAGGGAAAAGAAGGGGAAGGCAUAUUUUAAAUUUUCUACUUUACUUAAAUUUGAUGAUUUUACACAGGAACAUUUUUUUCCUUGACAAAACGAAUCUUAAUUAGGCCAUGCAUGCAAUAAAUUUUUCCGUUUGAGUUGAGUAAAAUCUCAACCAAACACGGUAAUUGCAUGUCAUAGAAAGGGUAAGCCAGGCAUCAAAAAAAUGAAUAUAUGUAAAUUAUACAUGGCACGAUCACAUCUUGAAAUUGAGUCUGCCAGAAAAAUUUUGCUUCUCUACAAGUGUAUGCUAUUCAUUCACUCUAUACAGCAACACUACAAUCACCAUUCUGUGAAAUAUCCUCAUGAGUUUCAAUAGAAGAAUGUUGAGACACUUCUAUUGCUGCUAUAGCAGCAGAAGAUGGUGAUUCACUUUCAGUGUUAAUGUGGGAAAGUGGAGAAUUAACAUGAUUGUCAGCUGGAUUCAUUUGCAGUGGGUUGAUCUCAUUUGCAUCAUCGCCAAGUUGUGCGUGAUUGAUCUCUGCAGAAACAUCUGAAAGCAUCGUCGUGUUGUUGAUCUCAUGACUUGCAUCACAAAGCAGUGAAUUAUCAAUCAUCAUAGGAUCGCAAUGUUGUGCAUCAUGAAUAUCAUUGGCUGCAUUCAGAUGCUCAAUAUUUUCCUCACCAGUCACAUGGUUAAACUCUUCCUUGAUGGCCUCAUCAGCUUCGCGCUUCAGUUCUUCAUGGUUAAACUGAGCAGCUACAUCAUCUGACUCUGCGUUAUUUUCUUCAACAGAUGCAUAGCCUAGGUCUGAUUGAUCAACACAGAGGUGCAGAUUCUCAGCAUCAUCGUCUGCAUGAAUCAGAUCUGCGCUGUCCACAUUACAUAAUUGGGCGUGAUCCAGCUCCCUAUCAAUAUGAGGUAGAUGUAAUUGAUCAAUAUCAAUCGCAGUGCCAUAGUACUGAGGUUGGUCAUCCUCACUAACAGCGUUAUAUUGAACUGCGCCAUCCUUCCGCAUUCGCUUACCUGCCCCUCUUCUUCUAACCCUCUCUUUUCCUCUUACCCUUUUUCCGAUUUCAACUUCGGGGCUGGCUGAUGCGAUGACUGGACCGCCGAUUUGGUCUCUCAAACAUUCAUGGGCAAUAUAUCUGAUCCUAGAUAUUGAAUCAAUUUGUUGUGGAUCUAGCCCUUUUGUUGAAAAGGUAUCUGCUAUGUGUGCAAUAUCCCUCAGACCAGCAUUCUGAAAACAUUUGUUUAUAUUCUUUAAAAAGCAUUUUAAACUUAAUCUAUAAUAGCUAUAAGAUACAAAACCUAAAUUCAUGAAACAUAUCCUUACCGUUCUCUGAAACUCGGAUGACAGAGAAAUAGGCCUCCCUAUGAACUUGCGAGUAAUUCUCAGAUACCACUCCAUGUACUCACUUUCAUCUACACUCUCAUCCCCAUCAACAAUAUGCAAUUGGCGGUCCAUCCAUUCAUUGAGCUCUGAUUCCAUUUUCCCAGACAAAUCAACCCCGCCAUCAACUCCUCUACUCUUUCUCUCCCAACGCUCCACAUCAUCCGGGAUUGAUUGAAGCAUGCCAUAUUGCCUUAAGCAUCGAUUUGGAAGAUGUCUUUCUGCCUUGUCAAAGCAUAUCAACAUUGUCUUUGACCUUCCAAGAAUUAAAGUGCUUUUGAUAUGUUCUGGAAUAACCAUACUAUCCAUGUUCCGGUAAGGGAGCCACUCCACCUGUAGAUUAACACUAUCUUAUUUUUAAAAAAUGUAUAGAGAAUACUACCAGAUAAGCAUUAAUUAAACAUAGAAAUGACAAUAAGACUUACUUCACAUGGUUUUAGGGAAUCCAAAGCCUUCCGAUAAAAUACUACAUCACGGUUUGCAGUCGGGCCACUUUGUUUUCCUUUCCAUCUAACCACAAAUGGAAAUCGAUCAUGAAUCAUAUCAAGAUUGAGCUUUGGUCGCCCAAUAUUUAGGUGAAAGUAACUCCAACACUGCAAAUGCAUAAUAAUCCAUUAAUCAGAGCUUACCACAAAAAAAAACCAUUAAUCAAAACCUCGAAUAAAGUAAACUGCAGUUUGAAAGAAAAGGAUAAAGCAGGAAAGCACAUUUACAACACCUGCAGUAGAGUUAAACAGCCACUAAUGGUGCUUUGAGUUUUUAGUGAGGCAUUUCCCAGUGCUCUAUACAAGAAUCCCAACGUUGCUGCACCCCAGGCAUAUUGUCCACAUCUAUCAAAAUUCUCAAAUAAUGGCAAAUACAUUACAGGGACCUUAUUCCCUGUAGUGGUGGAGAAUAUGGUGCUACCUACAAGGUAAAGAAGAUAGGCUCGAGUAUGUUGCUCUAUCACUUCAAAUGGAGCAUCUUCAGGACAGCGAGAAAAGAACUCUUUCAACCAACUUAACUUCACCAUUCCGCCACUUGUGUAACCAGAUUCAGGGGUUCUGCCAAGAUACCUUUCACAAACUGAACUGCAUGCGGUAUAUGUAAUACCUAUUACAGGUUCUCCAUCAAUUGCCAGCCCAAGUAAGAGGGCAACAUCUUUAAGAGUUACCGUCAUUUCACCAACGUUCAAGUGAAAAGUAUUUGUUUCUCUUCUCCAUCUUUCAACUAGAGCAGAGAUAAGUGGAUUGUCUAGACUAAUAGCUGGAAUUGACCUUAAGUAUCCAAAUCCAGCUCUCUCUACCAAUUCAAUCUGUUUAGGUGUAAGUGUCCACUGAUCAAGCUUUGAAGUGUGUUCGUGACAUCUCAGGGCGCCACGCUCCUGCUAAUGCAUUAAUCAGAGAACAAUUAUAUAAAACUAUAAGUAACCAAGCUAUUGAUGACUUUCUGAAAAGAAAAUGAAAUAAGAGAUGAAGCAGAUAGUCUUGUCAGCUAUCAAACUGCACCUGUCCCUCCCAAACUGCUGUGGAGACAUGCUUGUCUUNNNNNNNNNNNNNNNNNNNNNNNNNNNNNNNNNNNNNNNNNNNNNNNNNNNNNNNNNNNNNNNNNNNNNNNNNNNNNNNNNNNNNNNNNNNNNNNNNNNNNNNNNNNNNNNNNNNNNNNNNNNNNNNNNNNNNNNNNNNNNNNNNNNNNNNNNNNNNNNNNNNNNNNNNNNNNNNNNNNNNNNNNNNNNNNNNNNNNNNNNNNNNNNNNNNNNNNNNNNNNNNNNNNNNNNNNNNNNNNNNNNNNNNNNNNNNNNNNNNNNNNNNNNNNNNNNNNNNNNNNNNNNNNNNNNNNNNNNNNNNNNNNNNNNNNNNNNNNNNNNNNNNNNNNNNNNNNNNNNNNNNNNNNNNNNNNNNNNNNNNNNNNNNNNNNNNNNNNNNNNNNNNNNNNNNNNNNNNNNNNNNNNNNNNNNNNNNNNNNNNNNNNNNNNNNNNNNNNNNNNNNNNNNNNNNNNNNNNNNNNNNNNNNNNNNNNNNNNNNNNNNNNNNNNNNNNNNNNNNNNNNNNNNNNNNNNNNNNNNNNNNNNNNNNNNNNNNNNNNNNNNNNNNNNNNNNNNNNNNNNNNNNNNNNNNNNNNNNNNNNNNNNNNNNNNNNNNNNNNNNNNNNNNNNNNNNNNNNNNNNNNNNNNNNNNNNNNNNNNNNNNNNNNNNNNNNNNNNNNNNNNNNNNNNNNNNNNNNNNNNNNNNNNNNNNNNNNNNNNNNNNNNNNNNNNNNNNNNNNNNNNNNNNNNNNNNNNNNNNNNNNNNNNNNNNNNNNNNNNNNNNNNNNNNNNNNNNNNNNNNNNNNNNNNNNNNNNNNNNNNNNNNNNNNNNNNNNNNNNNNNNNNNNNNNNNNNNNNNNNNNNNNNNNNNNNNNNNNNNNNNNNNNNNNNNNNNNNNNNNNNNNNNNNNNNNNNNNNNNNNNNNNNNNNNNNNNNNNNNNNNNNNNNNNNNNNNNNNNNNNNNNNNNNNNNNNNNNNNNNNNNNNNNNNNNNNNNNNNNNNNNNNNNNNNNNNNNNNNNNUUUGCUUCAUCAGCCGUCUCAGCUGCGGUUAGCCGCGUGUUCUUAGACAAUUUCAUACCUUUGCAAUGCUUCAACAAUGACGAAGAGUUUACAGUAGCUUCCACGAUUUCCUGUCUGCUUCCUCUAGCUAUUACAGGUAGUAUUUGUCUAAAAUCACCUCCAAGUAUUACUACUUUUCCUCCAAAAGGCUUAUGAGCGUUGUCUUCAUUUUUCGACCUCAUUAAAUCUCGAAGUGUAACGUCUAGAGCUUCGAAACAAAACUUUUUCAACAUUGGAGCUUCAUCCCAUAUGAUAAGGCUUGUUUCAAGUAGAAGCUUUGCUCGUAGACUUCCUUGCUUUAUAUUCCAUGUCGAGGUCUCUGUAGCAUCCAAUGGAAUGCAGAACUUAGAAUGAGUUGUUCUGCCUCCAGGCAAGAGUAAUGAUGCUAUGCCACUGGAAGCAACAUUAAGAACAAUUAGUCAUCUGGAUCUAAGUGACGCGGAUAAAGUGUUCCAGACAAAAGUCUUUCCGGUUCCACCAUAGCCAUAUAAAAAGUAGAAUCCUCCUGAGUUUGACAACACAGAUGUGACAACCCUCUCAUAUACUGACUUCUGCUCAGGUGUGAGCAUACUAAGCAACUGUUCAUAUUGUAUCCGUAAUGCAUCUUUGUCAUAGCUUAGUUCAUCGACAAUAAAUCUAUUGUCAAAUUGUAGGACUUCAUCAUAUGCUGGAGUUGGUAAUGAUGGGAAAUCACUUAAUGACCUACCAUUUCUUUGGAGCAACUUCUCAAUUUCAAUGAUACAUAAAUUUUUCAAAUCAGCAUCUGCGAUUCGUAGUCGUGCAGUCGAAAAUAAAAAUUAACCAAUGAUUUAUCGCUAUAUCGAAUAUAACUAAUGUUGUUCACUUAGUAUGCAAAAUUAUGUUGCACGACAUUUGUUUUAAAAGUUUUGAAUUUUAAUUAAAUUAAAUCCUAGCAUUAAUUAACUCAUUUUAAAGACAUUUAAAAUCUUAAUAAUAUAAUUUGAAAAAUGUCAUACCUGGAUUAUGAAAUUCUUUUCGUCUAUGGUGUAGAAUGCCUUCUGAUAAGAGUAACCAGCAUGCUUCCCAAACAUCAUUAGGUUUUGAGAUAGAAUUCAUCAUCAACAUUCUUACAAAGAGUUUCCUCAUUUGUUCUCUGGAAGCUAAAUCAGAGACUUCUUUAAUUGCAUCAAUAUAUUCUUUGUCAUCUGUUAGCAAUCCCAAUUGAUCACAUGCUUCCUUAAAAGUAUCAUAUGUGAUUCCCUUCACUGUUCUGAUACUUCUAUAUGAUGUACAACCCUUUUGCAUAGUCAGUAGGAUUCUCAUGUAAUAAAACUCUCCGAUGCUUGGAGGGAUAUAUUGUAGUCUGCCAAUUUUAAAACCCCUCUUUCUUGGUUUCCAGAUUCUAUCUUUUUUAUGAUAAACAAAUCUGCUGGGAAAUUCAGCAUAUGUUAGAUUCCGCCCAUCAGGGUAUUUCUCAUUAGCUGCAAACCAAGCCAUAAACAUUGUGGAUUUUGUACCACUCUUUUCUAGGACAUCUCCAACGUCGUCAUCAUCAUUAUAAUAUACUAAAUAUUCAUUUGGGAGAUGAAAAUAUAGUUUUUGCACUGACGACCAUCGUUUGUGUAUGGUAAAACCAAAUGUUCUCCAAACUGCCUCACACGGUGAAAGAUAGCAACAAUCAUAAUAUUGUUUUACCUCAUCAACUGGCUCUUUUGCUUGUGCAUCAUAUAAUAUAUAUUAAUUGUCCCAUAAAAAAUUAUAAGUUAAUAUUAUACAUGUACUGAACUAAAACUCGCACUCGCGCAUUGUGCGGGCAUGUUCUUGUAGUUUACAAGGAUUUUUAAUAUAGCAAAAUAUGCAAACCUAAGAAAAUGAAUUUUAUAGAAGAUUAUUAAUAACUAAUUAAAAAAAGUAAAGUCAAUUUGAAUUUUACUUGUUUUUAUCAUUAUUAUUUUUAAAAUUUUAAUUUUUUUCUCAAGUUGUCUUUAUUAAUUACAAUUUAUAUAGUAAUAACUAUUAUUAUUUUUAAAUAGGAGAAAUUGGAAAUUUUUACAAUAGUAACUAAUUAAUAUUGUCAUUAUUUACGUGUCAAAUCAAGUUGUAAGAGUUAGGGAACAUUGGGUUGAUUCCCCUUAAGCAAAUAUCGAGUUCGAAUCUUGUGGAUGAAAAAAACUCUACUAGGAGAGUUAGCCCCACCAUGAUGUGGAUGUUCCCGGCUAGAAUAAGAUUGCAUCCGAAGAAGGACACUUGUCUAACACACAAAAAAAAGUGGUAAGAGUUAGGGGACAUUGGUUGGGUAUGGGAGAUCUAGGAAUCAAUCCCUAUAGAGUACAAUUUAUCUUUCCAAUGUAAAAAAAAUCACGUAUUCUUGGUACAUCAUUUUAAUUAAUAUAUAUUUAUUUAUUUAUAUGAAUAAAACAAAAUUUUUUUUUGUACAUUGAACGGGGAAUAUGUCUAUUUUAUUUGAUACAUCAAUUAAUCAUGAACGUGAUUAUGCAAGUUCGUUUUCAGUUAUUAUUUUUAAGGCUUAUCUAAAAAAAGUUAUUAUUUUUAAAAUUCUAUGUUAUCUAUGUUUUAAUUUUUUUUAUAAGUUGUUCUUAAUAUGUGCUCUCAUCUUUCCCCAUUAAUUCCUAAUUGUCUCUUUUUCUCCCUCAAUUUCGUUUCUCUCUAUUUUCUCUCAUCUAAUGACUAACAUUUUAAAUUUUCAGUUUCCUUAUGUCUUUUUUCUCUUUCCCCAUUAAUUGUCCUUCUCCCUCUCCCCCCUCCCCCCAAUUCGCUGCUCAGCUCUCUCUCCCCUCAUCCUUUCUUUCAAAUUCUUCUUUUUCCAUUUUUUUUCUAUAAUAAUUUUUUUUCUGAAAUGAUUAUUAAAAUCUUUCAUUUUCUUAAGUAUUUGGAAACCAAUCAAAUCAAAUAUUAUAAUCUUUCCUGUAUCUAUCAAAUAAUAACCGCUUUAAUUCCCUAAAAUAAUUAAACAUAUUUAUAACCUAUUUAAAUCAAGAUUGAUGAAAUAUAUUUAGUGAGGAGUAAUCUAGGUAAAUCUUAGAUAAUUAUGGCAAAUCUUAAGGGCCCGUUUGGUGCGACGUAUAGUAUAAGGCCUGAUAGUAUAAGAUCUGAUAGUAUUAGGCCUGAUAGUAUAAGCCCUGAUAACUUUCUUAUACUAUCCAGCGUUUGGUCAUACUCUGUAUAAUUUACCAUAUCGUUUAAAUUAAUACAAUUUUAUGUUUAGUGAAUUAUUGAAUAAUGAUAUAUAAUAAAAAUUAACUAUGGAGGUGAUUAUAACGGUGGGCGGCGGUGGUGUUUGGGGGUGGUAAAGGCCCGUUGGUGGGUUAUCCGGGGGGGGGCGGUUGGGGCAAACAAUAAAUGGUUGUGGUGUUGGCGAACAUAAGGGUGGUGGUAAUGCGGUGGCGGUGGGGGCUGCAGUAUGGUGGCGGCGACGGUGGAGGGUGGAGGCAAUGGUGGUGGUGGCGAUAGGGUGGUGGUUGUGGUGUCAGUGGUGGCAGUGGUGGCGGUGGUGGAAAUAGAGUGGUGGCGGCGAUUAUGGUGGCGACGGUGGAGGGUGGAGGCAAUGGUGGUGGUGGUGGUUGUGGUGUUAGUGGUGGCGGUGGUGGCAAUAGAGUGGUGGCGGCGAUUAUGGUGGCGGUGGCGAUAGGAUGGUGGUUGUGGUGGUGGUGGUGGCGGCAACACAGUGGUGGCGACGGCGGUGGUGAUCAGAUGGUGGCGGCAACACCGGUGGCGGUGGUGGUGCCAAUGGUGGUGUAAGUUGGCAGCAAUGGAGGGUGGUGGUGAUGGUGACUUAUACGUCACAACCUUAUCAUGCCUUUCCUUCACUCACAUGAUGGAUUAAAUUAUACGUCAUUGUAGUGGUGGUGGCGACGGUGGUGGCGGUAGUGACGAUGGUGGUGGUGGUAGUGGUGGAGGCGGUGGUGGUGGAGGAUGAUUGUGGUGGCGGUUGAUUAAAUAUAUUGAAGUAGUUUAUACAUUGCACUCUUAUCAUGCCUUAUACAUCAUCUAUAGGGUGGAUUAAAUAAUCCAUCAUUUUGAUGUAUAAGAGGAGAUUGAUAUAUAAGCUUAUAUAAUACAAUGUGAGCACCAAACAAUGGAUAAACUCAUAAUGUAUUGUAUAAGUUUAUACUAUCAUGUCUAAUACGGCGUGCCAAACGAGCCCUAAUGGUUUUUAAUAUCAGCACUACAUAUUUUAUUUUUAUAUUGUAGAUCAUGAGAAAAAAUAAAAGGAGAACUAAAGGGAUUCUUGUAAAUAUGCAGUAAAUUAGACAUGAGACUUUUCCUAAUUUAAAGAGAUAAUGAAAACGGUUUCAAAAUUUGUUUUGGAAAUAAAUUUAGUAAGGAGUAAUCUAGGUAAAUCUUAGAUAAUUAGGACAAAUAUUUUAAAAUUCAGUUUUUAGAUAAAAUAACACAGGAAAAGAGAUACUAUCUAAUGAAAUGACACGUUGAAUUUUUUUAUGAGAAUUAACCUGGUGUUGUCACGUCACUAAAUCAGUCUGAUAGAAGUUGUUCUUUUCUAAUAUAUAUUGAUUGAUAUUGAUAUGAACGGUAGAAUACUUGAAGGGAGAAUUUUGCUCGUCAUAUUGAUUUAUUAUUUUUUGAAAAAGCCAAAUGAUUCAUUAAUUAAGAGAUAAAAAUUUGAGAACAAAACUGUUUUUUUUUAUUAAACAGAGCACAACACUCUCAAGUAUGCAGUAAUGAUAAACACCAAAGGUCCAAAGCCAAUGUAAAGCCCAUAACUUCCCAAACACUUAAGAUUUGAGAAUGAAAUUCCCUAAAUGUUAAGACCAUUUAACUAGCAAAAACACAGAGGCAAAGAAAUGUAAUUAUUUUAAAACUUCUUAGUUUCCCUUUUAAGCUCAGACUACUUUAUAAUGAUUUUUUUAGAUAUAAUGAAGAUAUUAUUAUAGGUGUCCACUAGGGUGGACCUUUGUUAUUUUGGUUCACCGGUGCACCAGAUAUAUAUUAGACUUUGCACUAUGCCACUAUGGGUCUUUUAGGAAAUACCCCUACUUCCUGACCCUUCAAACCCACAAUCUUCCACCACUAGCGAGCCCCUGCGCCACCAACCCACCCUCCAACUACAAUCCAUUGCAACUCCACUUAGGUUCCAAAGCUUUUAAUUGAGUUUAACAACUUCACGAGCAAGUUCGAACUCUGAAUAUCCAACCUAGCUACAAAACCCUAAAUGUAAAUUGCACCUCAGCUCGCGCCACCGCGGCCACAACCAUGGCUUCACCUUGUAACUGCACCCCCAACAGAUUAAAUUUCUUUCUAGGUUUCAACUAAAGAAGAUCUAAUAUUUCUUCUCUUUUGUUUCUGUUUCUAGGUUUUUAAGGUGGAGAUCAAGCAACAGAGGACUCGAUGUAGGGCUCGCUUGAUCCACAAUAGAGGACUCGAUCUGGGACUCGCUGGUUGGUUCCAGAGAAAAGAACCCAAUUACCAAAAAUGUGUUCUUUCUCAACAAAAACAAGAAAGAAAGAUUGAAAAGGUAAGAAAUGUAAUGGCAAAUGAUUUUCCCUUUUUUGUGACCGCAUGCCAAUCUGAUUUUAAAUACCCAUUUUAUUUUCCUCCAUCACUAAAUGCUUCCCCUCCGCCUCAGCAACGUUGUUAUGUUCCGCAUUGUUUACCGCACCUGCCCCCUCCUCUGCAUCUGCAUCCGCUACUUUCCGACUGAAAUCAGCAGCAAAGAUGGAGUGGGUUGCCCUAUUUCUAGAAACAAAGACUCGGUAGUCCUAUUUUACAACCCUUCUCUUGUCCACAUCGCCAUUGUUGUUGUGAUUUGAACCAUCGUUGUAGAAUCAACAGUGGCGGCGAGAGAGAUAAGGCGGGGUAGCCACGAACAUCGCCUUCCAGAAACAGGGAGAAGAGGGGGUUGGCUUCGGGGUUGUCAAUUUACACUUUUUCCAUUUUAUCAUUCAUCAAAUCCUAGCCAUUCAAUUAAAGAAUAUUUCAAAAAAAUUAAAUCCGACGGUGGUUAAGCCUGGCGUACCGGUGGACAAAAAAAAGAGGUCUACCCUUAGUAGGCAAAGAGGUCUACCCUUAGUAGGCACCGUUAUUAUACUUGAAAAUUACUCGCUAUGUUCUCGCCGGUUAUUUAGUUUUUAUAGAUUUUUGGAGGGAAAAGAAGGGGAAGGCAUAUUUUAAAUUUUCUACUUUACUUAAAUUUGAUGAUUUUACACAGGAACAUUUUUUUCCUUGACAAAACGAAUCUUAAUUAGGCCAUGCAUGCAAUAAAUUUUUCCGUUUGAGUUGAGUAAAAUCUCAACCAAACACGGUAAUUGCAUGUCAUAGAAAGGGUAAGCCAGGCAUCAAAAAAAUGAAUAUAUGUAAAUUAUACAUGGCACGAUCACAUCUUGAAAUUGAGUCUGCCAGAAAAAUUUUGCUUCUCUACAAGUGUAUGCUAUUCAUUCACUCUAUACAGCAACACUACAAUCACCAUUCUGUGAAAUAUCCUCAUGAGUUUCAAUAGAAGAAUGUUGAGACACUUCUAUUGCUGCUAUAGCAGCAGAAGAUGGUGAUUCACUUUCAGUGUUAAUGUGGGAAAGUGGAGAAUUAACAUGAUUGUCAGCUGGAUUCAUUUGCAGUGGGUUGAUCUCAUUUGCAUCAUCGCCAAGUUGUGCGUGAUUGAUCUCUGCAGAAACAUCUGAAAGCAUCGUCGUGUUGUUGAUCUCAUGACUUGCAUCACAAAGCAGUGAAUUAUCAAUCAUCAUAGGAUCGCAAUGUUGUGCAUCAUGAAUAUCAUUGGCUGCAUUCAGAUGCUCAAUAUUUUCCUCACCAGUCACAUGGUUAAACUCUUCCUUGAUGGCCUCAUCAGCUUCGCGCUUCAGUUCUUCAUGGUUAAACUGAGCAGCUACAUCAUCUGACUCUGCGUUAUUUUCUUCAACAGAUGCAUAGCCUAGGUCUGAUUGAUCAACACAGAGGUGCAGAUUCUCAGCAUCAUCGUCUGCAUGAAUCAGAUCUGCGCUGUCCACAUUACAUAAUUGGGCGUGAUCCAGCUCCCUAUCAAUAUGAGGUAGAUGUAAUUGAUCAAUAUCAAUCGCAGUGCCAUAGUACUGAGGUUGGUCAUCCUCACUAACAGCGUUAUAUUGAACUGCGCCAUCCUUCCGCAUUCGCUUACCUGCCCCUCUUCUUCUAACCCUCUCUUUUCCUCUUACCCUUUUUCCGAUUUCAACUUCGGGGCUGGCUGAUGCGAUGACUGGACCGCCGAUUUGGUCUCUCAAACAUUCAUGGGCAAUAUAUCUGAUCCUAGAUAUUGAAUCAAUUUGUUGUGGAUCUAGCCCUUUUGUUGAAAAGGUAUCUGCUAUGUGUGCAAUAUCCCUCAGACCAGCAUUCUGAAAACAUUUGUUUAUAUUCUUUAAAAAGCAUUUUAAACUUAAUCUAUAAUAGCUAUAAGAUACAAAACCUAAAUUCAUGAAACAUAUCCUUACCGUUCUCUGAAACUCGGAUGACAGAGAAAUAGGCCUCCCUAUGAACUUGCGAGUAAUUCUCAGAUACCACUCCAUGUACUCACUUUCAUCUACACUCUCAUCCCCAUCAACAAUAUGCAAUUGGCGGUCCAUCCAUUCAUUGAGCUCUGAUUCCAUUUUCCCAGACAAAUCAACCCCGCCAUCAACUCCUCUACUCUUUCUCUCCCAACGCUCCACAUCAUCCGGGAUUGAUUGAAGCAUGCCAUAUUGCCUUAAGCAUCGAUUUGGAAGAUGUCUUUCUGCCUUGUCAAAGCAUAUCAACAUUGUCUUUGACCUUCCAAGAAUUAAAGUGCUUUUGAUAUGUUCUGGAAUAACCAUACUAUCCAUGUUCCGGUAAGGGAGCCACUCCACCUGUAGAUUAACACUAUCUUAUUUUUAAAAAAUGUAUAGAGAAUACUACCAGAUAAGCAUUAAUUAAACAUAGAAAUGACAAUAAGACUUACUUCACAUGGUUUUAGGGAAUCCAAAGCCUUCCGAUAAAAUACUACAUCACGGUUUGCAGUCGGGCCACUUUGUUUUCCUUUCCAUCUAACCACAAAUGGAAAUCGAUCAUGAAUCAUAUCAAGAUUGAGCUUUGGUCGCCCAAUAUUUAGGUGAAAGUAACUCCAACACUGCAAAUGCAUAAUAAUCCAUUAAUCAGAGCUUACCACAAAAAAAAACCAUUAAUCAAAACCUCGAAUAAAGUAAACUGCAGUUUGAAAGAAAAGGAUAAAGCAGGAAAGCACAUUUACAACACCUGCAGUAGAGUUAAACAGCCACUAAUGGUGCUUUGAGUUUUUAGUGAGGCAUUUCCCAGUGCUCUAUACAAGAAUCCCAACGUUGCUGCACCCCAGGCAUAUUGUCCACAUCUAUCAAAAUUCUCAAAUAAUGGCAAAUACAUUACAGGGACCUUAUUCCCUGUAGUGGUGGAGAAUAUGGUGCUACCUACAAGGUAAAGAAGAUAGGCUCGAGUAUGUUGCUCUAUCACUUCAAAUGGAGCAUCUUCAGGACAGCGAGAAAAGAACUCUUUCAACCAACUUAACUUCACCAUUCCGCCACUUGUGUAACCAGAUUCAGGGGUUCUGCCAAGAUACCUUUCACAAACUGAACUGCAUGCGGUAUAUGUAAUACCUAUUACAGGUUCUCCAUCAAUUGCCAGCCCAAGUAAGAGGGCAACAUCUUUAAGAGUUACCGUCAUUUCACCAACGUUCAAGUGAAAAGUAUUUGUUUCUCUUCUCCAUCUUUCAACUAGAGCAGAGAUAAGUGGAUUGUCUAGACUAAUAGCUGGAAUUGACCUUAAGUAUCCAAAUCCAGCUCUCUCUACCAAUUCAAUCUGUUUAGGUGUAAGUGUCCACUGAUCAAGCUUUGAAGUGUGUUCGUGACAUCUCAGGGCGCCACGCUCCUGCUAAUGCAUUAAUCAGAGAACAAUUAUAUAAAACUAUAAGUAACCAAGCUAUUGAUGACUUUCUGAAAAGAAAAUGAAAUAAGAGAUGAAGCAGAUAGUCUUGUCAGCUAUCAAACUGCACCUGUCCCUCCCAAACUGCUGUGGAGACAUGCUUGUCUUGAUCAUAAAGAACUGAACCAUCAAUUGGACCUGGAUUAGUUGUGUAAGGGUCCACUGCUACCACUUCCAUUACUAUGCUGAAACUAAUACAAAAGAAGGUAAUAUAAAAAACAGGGACCACAAAAUUUUCUUACUGCGUUUUAUAAUUAAGUUUAUAAAUAUUAUAGAAAGGAACGCAAUAGACAAGGAUAAUGAAAACACUUAAAGGAAAACAGACCAAAGAAGGCAAUACAACUUGUUAAUACAUAAAAGGCAUAAAUAAAGCCUACAAAUCCUAACAAUUGAUAGCCCCAAAAUCCAAAUUUAUUAACCCAGAAGCAACCUGCUAAAAUACAUAUAAUAUGUGAACUUAUGGAGAAAACUAAUAUCUGUAGAAAAGGAAUAAUAUAAAGAAUGUAUUAAAGUUUAAACUGACAAAAGCCCACAUCUUUCAACCAAUCAAGGAAUGACGUCAUGAGUGGUUUUUCUCAUUUUCCACGGCUCAAUCUUGACAACUAAUAGAUACAAAAAAAAAAAAAAAAAGAUGAACUUUCUUUACCAAGAAAACUGAAGGAUUUAUACAGCAGAUUUUAGGGAUGGAUCCUUCCUGUAAUGUAAAUGAAGUAAUUGAUAAGCCUCAACUUUGACCGCCAUCUAUUCAUGCUUCAUUGAGUUACAAAAUUCUUUUCCUUGUUUGAACAGCAUUUUGAGGGGAAAUUGCCACAACAGAAAUUCUGAGGAAACACAACACUAACGCAGUGAGUUGAUAAAUAAUACAUGUGGAAGACUGCAAGAAACAGGAGGUCAAUGGAUAUUCAUCUUUUGCCAUGCCCAAAAGCUUGUUUGAAUCAGUGCUUGUCACAAUUGAUUUUGUAAAAUUGAUUAUAGAAAAAGUGAGAUAAAAGUAAAGUGAUUUAUGUUUGGAUACAUUUAUGAAAAAAGGGAGUUUUGUUGGGUAAUGUUGUGAAACUUAGUUGUAAAAUCUCACAAUUGAUUAUGUUCAACCCAGAAGCUACCCUACCUUGGUUCUACCAGAAUUGAUUUUGGGCCUGAAAUCAAUUCUCCGAAAUGAAUCUUAAAUAUCAAUAUUUUCAUCUAGAGGCAUGGUCAUCCAAAGGACUUUAAACACUGCACUAUUUACUUUAGGGCCCUUGGAAUCAUGCCUAAAAUCGUAUGAAUUAGAUCAAAAUAGUAGUCAAUCCCGCAUAGCGGCGCGUAGUGGCCGGCCCCAAAAGUGGGAUAGCGGGAUAGCGCAUAGCGGGAUGACCACUAUUCAUAUUUUUUAUAUAUAAUUAACAGUUUAAUUCUAUACACAUAAAUACCAAAAAAUGUCAAAUAUUGCCUAAGAUUCAUAACAUUCAUAAUAACACACAACUAAAAACCACUCAACAGAAAGUAUUUUAUAUUACCACAAACUGUAAAAAUACUAACAAGUGUGAGCUAUACCUGGGAAAUUAAUGAAAUAGCAUGUCCGCUCUUAAACUUCCCCUGCACUCAGCACUUGAUUUGAGCAGAUCCCCUCUUUGUUGUCUUUUAUUGGUUACAAGGAAGUUUCAUGAGGUACAGACAUCCAGCUUCUGCCUAAAAAAGUAGAAAUACAUCACCCCCUCAUAAAAUUAAAUCUAUGAGAAACAUCCAAAACUUUCUACGCCAAGACUAACACAAGCUCAAAGCAUUGUAGUUUCAUUUAAAGCACAGAAGGCACCAAUCCUAUAAAAUCCCAGAGAAAGUUUAUUUAUUUGCUCAUUAUUUAAUCAAAAACCAGUUUUCUUAAAUAUUUGCUGCCGAGAUUUCCUUUAACUUUAAGGCUUUGUUUGCAAGUUUGAUUUUGGAGGGGAAGGAAGGGAAAGGGGAGGCUUAUGAGAAGCACGCCACUCCCCUUGUUUGAGAGCUUUUUAAUAAGGGGGUAAGGGUUUGGGAAAAUUUUGAAAACCCUCCAAGACUCUCCUCUAGUUAUUUUGUGGAGGUCCCCCAAAUCGAGGGUUUUGGUGGAAUUUUGAGCUUCCAAACAAGGGGAGGGCUUAGUAGCUUACCCUCCCUUCCCCUCAAAGCCUUCCCCUUUCCUCCCCCCAAAACUCCCAAAGAAUGCCUAAACGAAUUUCACCUUAAAAUAGAAAACCGUAUUCCCUCACAUUGCCUAUCAACUGCAGGUCCAAAAAUCUAACUUUAUAUCUCAUUUCAAUCUACUAAAACAAACAUUACAUUGCCACCUUGAACCUUAACUUACAGAAAAGGCAACAAAAAUACAAGUUAAGCCACAGCCCAUUUCACUCAAAACAAGCUAAACAACUCAUAUCACAGCCCUUCCAAUUUCCAAUUUCAUUGGAGUCCAUGCUAGUCACUCUCAUAUUAUUACUUCAACAAUCAGCUCCAAGGACCAAUUGCAACACCAUUCUCCCUCAAAUUACAAACUCCACCAACAAAGAUUGCCUCUCCACACCAAAAACACAAACCAAACAGUGAAUCAUAUACAAAACAAUCCCCACCCCAUAAAAAGAAAAACUGCAAUCUUUAAGCAAAUUGAGCAUUGUUGAUGCUGCCAUUGUUGGGGAUGCUGCUGCUGUUGUAGAUGGUAGACCCACCAAGAGGUAUGCCAUCUGGAGGUUCCCCGGUCGAACCAUCUGCUGCUGUUGAUGCUACUUCCUUUCUAUUGAUACAAAACCCUAACCCUUAUAAUUCCAUCCUCAAUUUGCACUAGAACCCUAAUUCCAACCAUUUACAACAACAGCAGCAGCAACCCCAACAAUCGCAGCAUCAACAGUUCGACCCGAGAUGGCGUAGUCUACCAUCUACAACAACAACAACAACAGCAGCAACCCCAACAAUGACAGCAUCAACAGAGUACCAAGAUGCUUGUCAACAGUACCAGCAAAAAGCUCAUCUGGGCAUCAUGAAAAACACUCACAGAGGAAACCCAAUUGGAAUUUGGGAGAAAUGGGGGAUAAGAGAAGAAAGGCAUAAUAAGGAGAUGGUGAGAAGAGAUCUGCAUGGCGUUUAGCUUGCAAAUGCAUUGCGUUUUGAAUUAAAAGUAAAAAAAGUGAAGAGAGAGAGAAAGAAAGAGAGUGCUUACAGUGAAUGAAAGAAGGAGAACAACACGAUACGACUUCCUCCGUCGUCGUACCUCGAUUUCGAUUAGAUUAGCGUUUCGUUUCGUUUGAGGGCAACAACACAACACAAACACAAAGGUUUCUUCAAUGGGAACAUCUUUGGGCUUAGGCCUACACUACUUGGCUCGCCAUCUUUCCGGGCUCACAACAUUUUUCGGCCCAAAGUUUGAGUGAAUUCCUAUACUUGUCAUUAGAUUAUUUUCUAGAAUCAAUAAAAUUAAAAUUGCCACUCUCAAAAAAAUAAAUUUAUUUUUAACAUUUUAAUAUUGGUAUAAAAAUAUAAAUUAUUCUUACAGUGAAUCAAAACCAGUAUUUUGAAAAUCAGACUAGAACUACCAUUUCGACCAAAGAACCAAAAAACUGAGUGACUUUAGAACCAGUCAAAAAUCAGUUGAAUCAGUCCCAAAUUGGUGAAAACCGAACUAGAAUUGGUGCUGGAAACCAAGUUGAACGAGCCAGCUAUUAUUUUUGUUUUUUUUCUUCUUGUUUUUAAUUAAAAAGUAUAUUUUUAACCAUUUAAUGUUGAUUUUCUAUUAUAUAAAUUAUAUAAGAUCAACAAUCUAUAAUAAUUUCAAAUUUAAUGUUGAUUUUCUAUUAUAUAAAUUAUACUUAACAUCUUGUACAAACAUAUUACUGCAGUACAUAAUAUUAAAAAUAUUAUUUAAUCAUCAUUGGUUUGACCACGGUUAAACUAAUGAACAUUGACAUGAUUGGCUCAUAUGGUUCAUUGAGCGACCCGAUUUUCUGAACAUUAGUCAAAACAUUCUACCAAAUUCUAAAACACGGUUGCCAAAAUUCGAAUACCACAUUUUAUAAUAUAUGGUUGCUAUUUGUUAACAAUUUCGGAAACUAUCAACAAGAUGUUGGUCUAGUGGUAAGCUAGUUAAACCUCUGUAAGGAUGAGAGCAAAAGUUCAAAUCUCAAAAAAGACAUUUGUUGGAAUGAACGUGCAGCCAUAUCCUAAAUGGGUGACAACAUCCGUCAAGGACCAAACAAUUUUGAAGACUUCAAUUACGAAGUAUAAUACACAAAAGUGUACAAAAAUCCAAUGUCCGGAAGCUAUUUUGAGAUUUAAACUAUCAAAUUCUUAUUUCCAGUAUGUAAAAAAUAAAACUGCGCUCUGAAUUUUAAUUUCUGAAAAACAAUUUAAUCAAGAGUAUUUUAGGAAAUUGCUACGUGAUUUGAUAGUGUUGGGGUGAUAGAGGUGUAUUUAACAACUUCCUUCUCCAUUAGGGGAAAUAGACCCCUGUCAUUAUAUUUUUCUUAUCUACAUUAAUGCUAUAGGGUUAAAAAGUAAUAAAAAAGUUACCGUUUCACUUUACUUCAGAUAAAAGUUAUUCAAGGAGUUGUGCCAAUGUUACUAUAGAUUUCCCCUCGAGCAUUCCACUCCAGAAGAAUUGCUAUGGAGUAAAUGGCAUACCAAUUAACUUGCUUUCAGACUGAUUUUUUCCCUUGUUUCAAGUUUCUUUGUAUAAAAAAUGCUAACAACACACUCUUUCAUGACACACUAACACACUCAUUUAUAUGCUAGCGACAUAUUUUUUAUGAAGUGAGAAAAAUGUGUUUACUUUUCAAAAUAUAAAUCAAUCACAAAAUGUGUCAAGUGUAUCCUUACAAGAGUAUGUUGCUAGCACUUCCUCAUAAAUAUUAAGUGUACAUUUGAAUAAAUAGCUUAAUUAAACACAUAUCACAUAGACACAAACAAGUAUAAGCUUGCUCAAAUAAGCUCUUCCAAAUGCGUCAAAUAAGUUCUUCCAAAUACGGUCUAAGUUUAGGUUGCUAUCUUAAAGAUAAAACCUAGAUAAAAAUUGAUGUAAAAGAAACUUUGCGUCUUGAUGUUGGAAAUUGCAUCUUUUAAAACCUUGAGAAUUAUAAAUAUAGUAAUUUUAGUAAAAUAAAUAAACUGAUAGUCAAGUCUAAUCAACAGGCUCAAAAACAAUAAAGUAAAUGGUCUCGCAUGUAACCAGUUUCAAGUAAACCUUAAUCCUUGUUGUUUCACAAAGCUAAGGAAGAUGCAGGUUUCCUUACAUACACUUGUUCACCAGAUCAAAAAAAGCACAAAAGAAAGUGGCAACCUUUGGAGGGUGGAAAAUGAAUUUAAUAAAGUUAAGCCAAAAAAAUAUUAUACAUAACAGUGAUCAUGUACCAGAUCUUCCCUAGUCACCUUCAGAAUCUUGCCCUUGGGGCAUAACAGAAAGAUUGCAAAGCAGCAUCAACUAUUGGCAGUUCUAGACUUCUUUCUAGUCAGCUACAUAAACUAUUGAAACAUCCGGAGGAAGUUGUUUGCAUAAGCCAUUGGCUUAACAUCGGGAUGUGCCUGCAAAUUCAACAAAAUGAACAAGACCCAAAAUGUAAGCAUGUCAAACAAAUUGAAAGGUAAAUGUUCAUCUGAACUUCAUUAACUUGAUUGUCCCAACUCCCAAUAUAAGAUACCAUAGCAGACAAUAAAAUACAGAAGAUACUAACCACUGCUGAGAAUGUAACAAUGUCAGGUUUCAAAUCAGGUGCUUUAAAUCGAAUAAAGGCACCUUUGUUACCCAUCUGCAGCAUACAAUGAAAUAUCAACAUGGUGUAGGAUUUAACUCUGGUACUUCAUAGGAGCAAAAGUGAUUCUUAAGUAAAUGCCAUAAAGUUGUUUAAAAAUAGAAACAAAAAGGAUUUGGUUACCUGGUCACAAUAAUUUGGAGCAGAAAACACAGUUAUGAGUUUACCAUUAUGUUCAAUCUCGUAACCCUCAUCCUUUACUUCAUGAGACCGCACAACUAAAUCUGUAAAUUGGUUUUUGUAUGAAGUCACUGAUUAAAGAACGAAUACAGAAACAAAGUAUCACACCAAUGGAAAACAUACCUAAAUUAUUUUCCUGCAAAAACCUUUUUGUCACAUCUCCACCAAAAGAAAGGCCUACACCACGCUUGCUUGGACCUCUUCCAGGGAGAGGCUGCGGAUCACUCCAUAGCAAUUCACACAUCAACCCUACACAUAUCAGACACACAUAGAAACAAAAAAUUACAAUACCACGCGGGAGAGAAAAGGCAAAGGGACUUAGGAAUAUGAAGUGCAAGAAUAUCUGGGAAACUGUCAGAAACAUUGAAGACAAAAAAUUGGAUGCAUCUAACCUUCUUCAGGAGGCUCACAAAACCGAUUAAUAGACCGGAUGUCAGAGAGUUUGACCCCAUCAACGCUAAAAAGACCUCCAUGGACUACGAAAACUUUCUCAUUUAUCACAUGAGCCAAAGGUAAACAGCAGAAGACUUCCGCAAAUAGUUCAAUAAAUGUGUCAUUCAACUUUGAGC
rnacentral:lncRNA from 1 species